UAGGGAAUCUUCCGCAAUGGGCGAAAGCCUGACGGAGCAACGCCGCGUGAGUGAUGAAGGUCUUCGGAGCGUAAAACUCUGUUAUUAGGGAAGAACAAAUGUGUAAGUAACUAUGCACGUCUUGACGGUACCUAAUCAGAAAGCCACGGCUAACUACGUGCCAGCAGCCGCGGUAAUACGUAGGUGGCAAGCGUUAUCCGGAAUUAUUGGGCGUAAAGCGCGCGUAGGCGGUUUUUUAAGUCUGAUGUGAAAGCCCACGGCUCAACCGUGGAGGGUCAUUGGAAACUGGAAAACUUGAGUGCAGAAGAGGAAAGUGGAAUUCCAUGUGUAGCGGUGAAAUGCGCAGCGAUAUGGAGGAACACCAGUGGCGAAGGCGACUUUCUGGUCUGUAACUGACGCUGAUGUGCGAAAGCGUGGGGAUCAAACAGG
rnacentral:rRNA from 1 species